rnacentral:rRNA from 1 species
GGUAGCGAAAUUCCUUGUCGGGUAAGUUCCGACCUGCACGAAUGGCGUAACGACUUCCCCGCUGUCUCCAACAUAGACUCAGCGAAAUUGAAUUACCUGUCAAGAUGCAGGUUUCCCGCGGUUAGACGGAAAGACCCCGUGCACCUUUACUACAACUUCACACUGGCAUUAGGCCGAAUAUGUGCAGGAUAGGUGGUGGGCUUUGAAGCGUGGACGCCAGUCUGCGUGGAGCCUCCCUUGAGAUACCACCCUUAUUCUGCUUGAUGUCUAACCGCGGUCCGUUAUCCGGAUCCGGGACCCUGUGUGGUGGGUAGUUUGACUGGGGCGGUCUCCUCCCAAAGCGUAACGGAGGAGCACGAAGGUUGGCUAAUCCUGGUCGGACAUCAGGAGGUUAGUGCAAUGGCAUAAGCCAGCUUAACUGCGAGACAGACACGUCGAGCAGGUACGAAAGUAGGUCAUAGUGAUCCGGUGGUUCUGAAUGGAAGGGCCAUCGCUCAACGGAUAAAAGGUACUCCGGGGAUAACAGGCUGAUACCGCCCAAGAGUUCAUAUCGACGGCGGUGUUUGGCACCUCGAUGUCGGCUCAUCACAUCCUGGGGCUGAAGUCGGUCCCAAGGGUAUGGCUGUUCGCCAUUUAAAGUGGUACGCGAGCUGGGUUUAGAACGUCGUGAGACAGUUCGGUCCCUAUCUGGUGUGGGCGUUGGAUGAUUGAUGGGAGCUGCUCCUAGUACGAGAGGACCGGAGUGGACGAACCGCUGGUGUUCGGGUUGUCAUGCCAAUGGCAUUGCCCGGUAGCUACGUUCGGAAUCGAUAACCGCUGAAAGCAUCUAAGCGGGAAGCGAGCCCAGAGAUGAGUCAUCCCAGACAGUUUAACUGUCCUGAAGGGUUGUUGUAGACUACAACGUUGAUAGGCAGGGUGUGGAAGCGUCGUAAGGCGUUAAGCUAACCUGUACUAAUUGCCCGUGCGGCUUAACC